GAUCAUGGCUCAGGAUGAACGCUGGCGGCGUGCCUAACACAUGCAAGUCGAACGAAGCACUUUCGAUCGGAGAUUCGUCAAAGAUUGGAUUUGACUUAGUGGCGGACGGGUGAGUAAUGUAUGAGCAACCUGCCUUUCAGAGGGGGACAACAGUUGGAAACGACUGCUAAUACCGCAUAAUGUAUUUUAAGGGCAUCCUUGAGGUACCAAAGGAGCAAUCCGCUGAAAGAUGGGCUCAUAUCUGAUUAGUUAGUUGGCAGGGUAACGGCCUACCAAGACUGCGAUCAGCAGCCGGACUGAGAGGUUGAACGGCCACAUUGGGACUGAGAUACGGCCCAGACUCCUACGGGAGGCAGCAGUGGGGAAUAUAGGGCAAUGGGCGAAAGCCUGAACCCCAGCAACGCCGCGUGAAGGAAGAAGGUCUUCGGACUGUAAACUUCUUUUAUGAGGGACGAAGGACGUGACGGUACCUCAUGAAUAAGCCACGGCUAACUACGUGCCAGCAGCGGC
rnacentral:rRNA from 1 species